rnacentral:rRNA from 1 species
GACGGGUAGCCGGCCUGAGAGGGUGACCGGCCACACUGGGACUGAGACACGGCCCAGACUCCUACGGGAGGCAGCAGUGGGGAAUAUUGCACAAUGGGCGCAAGCCUGAUGCAGCAACGCCGCGUGCGGGAUGACGGCCUUCGGGUUGUAAACCGCUUUUAGUAAGGAAGAAGGGGAGCUUGCUCCUUGACGGUACUUGCAGAAAAAGGACCGGCUAACUACGUGCCAGCAGCCGCGGUAAUACGUAGGGUCCGAGCGUUGUCCGGAAUUAUUGGGCGUAAAGAGCUCGUAGGCGGUUUGUCGCGUCUGCUGUGAAAUCUAGAGGCUCAACCUCUAGCCUGCAGUGGGUACGGGCAGACUUGAGUGGUGUAGGGGAGACUGGAAUUCCUGG